CAGCCGCCACGGGAAUACGGAGGGUGCAAGCGUUAAUCGGAAUUACUGGGCGUAAAGCGCACGCAGGCGGUCUGACAAGUCAGAUGUGAAAUCCCCGGGCUUAACCUGGGAACUGCAUUUGUGACUGUAUAGCUAGAGUACGGCAGAGGGGGAUGGAAUUCCGCGUGUAGCAGUGAAAUGCGUAGAUAUGCGGAGGAACACCGAUGGCGAAGGCAAUCCCCUGGGCCUGUACUGACGCUCAUGCACGAAAGCGUGGGGAGCAAACAGGAUUAGAUACCCCAGUAGUCCCUGUCUCUUAUAC
rnacentral:rRNA from 1 species